UUGCCUCCCGGAGCCAGAUCCGGGUCGGAGUUCCCCGUUCGGAAUGACAGACAAAAAAGGCGCUGACUCGGGCACCAGCGUCCACCGGAAAUGAGGUCCGGCGAGGUCGAGGUUUUACGGUUUUUCUGUAGAGAGAGAAAGAGAGGAUAUGAAGUAGUGGUGUUUUCUAGCAAUAUUUUCUUUUUCCUUCGUUUUUUAUUUUUUCCAUUUUUCAUUUAAUAAAUUUGUAUAUUUAUUUUAUUUGUUAAAUAUUCGGAGUCGACUCAACGUCAGGCUUGCAUGGAUGUGAUCCUCCCUUAGAUUUUCCAUGAAAAUUAUUUUUUAUUUUAUUUUUAAAAUUUUUUUUAGUAAUUAGUUCUACUUUUUGUUUAGUUAAUUAACAUUGAUUAUUUGAUAAUUAAGGAAUGAGACAGCUUUACCGUGUGGAAACCACCAAGCCUCCAUAUUCAGGCUUGGGCCCAGACAUCACAUUUUUAAGAGUGGCCCAUAUUAAAGCUGGGCCUACAAUAUGCAUACACUUCAACAAUCUUCUAGUCAUUUUCCCUUCUUAAUCAUAAUCAUAAGAAGGGUAUGUUUGUUUUCAGAGAAAAAUAAGGGGGUAAGUAAGUUGUCAGUUCUAAUUUUUCAUUUCCAAAUUUAUUUUAAACUUCUUAUGGCAUAAUUAACCAGCUUCCAACAAUCAAAUAUAUUAAAAAUAUAAUAUAAUUUUUAAAAACAUAAAAAAUGACCCUUGACGGUAUGGGCCAGGUCAUCUUCUGAGGUUCAGAGUCGAGUGAGCCACCCAGUCUGGGAAUUGGAGAAGAAAAUCUAUGUAAGUUUUCUCCGCGACCUCUGUUUGGUUUCUGGUAAAAUGCAGGAAACAAGAAACGAAAUCAAGUUUUUCCUUCUUAAUAUUAAAGAGAGAGAGAGAGAGAGAGAGAGCGAGCUUUAGAGAGUUUGUUGGCAUUUUCCUGUGUGCUACUUCUACUUGUGCAGAAAAAAAAAGGUUUGCUAUUUAGGGGUUCACAUGACUUACGGUGUCCGUUUAAACCCAUUUUAAACCCUCUUCUGCUCUAAUCUGCCAAUGUUUCGAUCAAACUGAUUCAUUUGAUCACAGAAAAUCCCUAGCGGUAGAAAGGCAUUUUCCAUUCUCAACUGCAAUAUAUGGGUUAAGCACAAAGGAAGAAGCUUAUGAUUAUUUAAGUGGUGUCUGUAUAUGUUUUCUUUUCUUUUCUUUUCUUUUUUUUCUUUACAGUUUUAAUUUGCUUGCAGUGAUUUGAAAUUGAUGCUAUGUUGAUGCCUAGUAUGUGGAAGAUCAAUGCAGUGAUAUUCUUAAGCUGUGGGGUCAGACCCUGAGUCCUUUUAUUAUCAUUUGUGAUGGUUUCCGAAUAUUCCUCACUGAAGUCAUUGUUUUAGUCAGUUUCAUUAUUAAAUGUCCUGAUGAUUUUUAUCCACAAACAGUGUGAGGUUUAGAUUGCAUUGUUAUUAAUGGAGUUAGAAAAAAAAAAAAAGGAACUUCAAAUAAUCAAAUAACAUGAUCCACAAGGUUGCUUCAAUUAUUAACUGCUGGAGUUGUAGCUAGAAAACUCAAAAACCAAAAUGCAAUCACAAGGAGCAUAAGGUUGCCUAAUGUCACGGACUUAGUCAUUCACUAAGCUCGUGCGAUACUUAGGCAAGUCAAGACGCUUGAUCUUGCUAAGUCAGCCUUGCUCCCAAUGCUUAGCUUGCUAGGCUAAAAUGCUCACGACUCGAAAGCUUAAGAAGCUUAGUAGGCAACUCUUAAAGAAUGGAACCUCUUAUUACUCAAGGAAACCUUUACAAAUGCUUGGAAGCUCACUUGCUUGGUUAGGAAGUGAUUUGGGUGGUGCCUUGGCCAAAUGAGGGUCUCACCUAUUUAUAAGCACCAAUGGAACUCUCUGGAACCUUGGAGGGUUCCUUACAAAUCAAGAAUAUUCUAGAACUCCCUACACUAAUCUAUGUACAACCCUAUGUACAAGAAUAUACAAGAGAUCUCUAGAAUUCUCUAGAAAGCCUUGGACUCCUCUCAUGCCUUCCAUCAUAGUGUAGAGAUGUGUGGACAUCUCUAGGCAUCUCUAAAACCUUCCACACUCUUCCAACCAAUGUCUUAGUGUAGAUGGCUCCAGGAGUCUCCAGAAGCUUCCUUCCUCCUAUAUAAGCUCAUGGGGAGGGUCAUUUGAAGCAUCUUGUGACACUCUCUCCCACCUAUGCCAUCGACGUCCUCGUCGUUGCCUCUUUCUGAAACCUCUCAAUGUGUUUCCAAAAUCUUCUCAAGGAAUCUACAUGUUCCCAACUUACCUGCUUCUUAGGUAAUCCUUUCCAUUAGACUAGAUACUCUAUCACAGGAGGGACCCGUUGUCUCCUGGUGACCCGUUCAGCCAAGAUAUUCUUCACCUCCUUCUCUCGUGAGGCUUCAGAUGGAUGCAGACCCGUGCGCUUUCGAUGCUUAGAGUGUUGCUUCCUCUUACCCAUUGAGUUCACCUUUUCCUUGGUGACCUCUUCCAUAUGUGUGCGGGCUACCUCAGCUCGUUCCCCUUUUUCCUCCUUUACUUGCACCCCUGCUAGUAAGGAGGCCUUAGGCGUACUAGGCUUCGAGUAGAAUUGGAGGGCACCUAGUAGCUGCAUUGAGCCCAUAUGUGCUUUGUCCUCCUACUCCCUCUCCUCGAUCAUGGCACUAAGCGCCUUCCUCUUUGGACAAUCCCGUGCCCAAUGUGGACCGUCACACAGGAAGCAUUUGAUUUUAGGCGUAAACUCCUUCCUUUCCGCCUUACCCCUUCCUUCUCAGACGUUAAGCGUCUUGCCUGAUCCCUUUUUAGGAGCAUUGUGGUUCAUUGGAACCUCGUCUCCCCCACCCAUGGCGUGGCUAUCCUUCAAAGACUCAACCUUGGAGGAGUCUCCCCUCUUAUAAUCCAUUAAAGACUCUGCUACUGUCAUGGCAAUGGCUAAGUCUUGAACACCUCGACGCCUCAAUUCCUGCUCGGCCCACCCUUGCAGGUUAUCCAUGAAGUUGAAUAACAACUCCUCCUCAGUCAUGUUAGGAAUCUCAAGCAUGAGCGAAGAGAAUUCCUUGACAUAGUCGCGUAUCGAGCCUGUGUGCUUGAGACGCCUCAUGUUUUUCCUAGCCAGGUAAGCCACGUCCUCGGGGUAGAACUGCCUCUUAAUCUCCCUCUUGAAGUCCUCCCACAUCUCUAUGAUGCAAAUGCCUUUUUCCAUAUCGGCAAACCUCCGACACCACCAUAAAGUAGUUGUGUUAGUAAGGUAGAGGGUUGCAGUUCUUACCUUAGCCGCCUCAUCCGUCAAUGCGAUAGCCUCGAAGUAUCGCUCCAUAUGCCAUAAGAAGUUGUCCAACUCCUUGGCAUCCCUCUUGCCACUAAACCCAUGUGGCUUCGGCACCUCCACCCUAGAUGCCUCCUCUGUGGCCAUGACUCGUGCCAACACAACAGCCUUGUAGAUGGCCAACUCCUGCCUAACCUCCUGGUCUCGGGACUCCAUUCGAGUGGCCAAGGCCUCUAUCCUUGACUCCAUGCUAGCAAGCAUGCUCAAGACCUUUCCUUGGAAGGACACAAACUCCUAAUGCGACACUGGCUGAACCUAUGAGACUAGCACCUUCUCACAAAGGUCUUGGAUCUGCUCCCUUAGAUCCUCUAAGCCCUUCUCCAUGUCUUGCUCGAUCAAGUCCAAUCUUUCUCGAGUGUCCUCCAUGGCUAGCUCCACCUUGACUAACCUUGCCUCCAUGUUGGCAACGGCAUCACGAGAUUUAUCCUUAUUGCCCCUGCCCCGUGCAGUAGGCUCAAUCUCCCUCCCACGGGUUUGCUCGCUACUCUCCUCUACGUUAGAGCCCAACAUGCUUCCUUUACUAUGCCCGCUUCGUAGCCACGCUCUGAUACCACUUGUCACAGACUUAGUCGUUCACUAAGCUCGUGCGACACUUAGGCAAGUCAAGACGCUUGAUCUUGCUAAGUCAGCCUUGCUCCCAAUGCUUAGCUUGUUAGGCUAAGAUGCUCACGACUCGAAAGCUUAAGAAGCUUAGUAGGCAACUCUUAGAGAAUGGAAGCUCUUAUUACUCAAGGAAGUCUUUACAAGUGAUUUGGGUGGUGCCUUGGCCAAAUGAGGGUCUCACCUAUUUAUAGGCACCAAUGGAACUCAUUGGAACCUUGGAGGGUACCUUACAAAUCAAGAAUAUUUUAGAACUCCCUACACUAAUCUAUGUACAACCCUAUGUACAAGAAUAUACAAAAGAUCUCUAGAAUUCUCUAGAAAGCCUUGGACCCCUCUCAUGCCUUCCACCAUAGUGUAGAGAUGUGUGGAUAUCUCUAAACAUCUCUAGAACCUUCCACACUCUUCCAACCAAUGUCUUAGUGUAGGUGGCUCCAGGAGUCUCCAGAAGCUUCUCUCCUCCUAUAUAAGCCCAUGGGGAGGGUCAUUUGAAGCAUCUUGUGACACUAAGCUGCAAAUCCCUAUUGUUGGUUAGUUUAUUAAGAAAACUAUCCCAUGUAAAGUGCUGGUUUUUUGUAACAUAAAUCGUAUCUCAGUCUCAGUUCCUAAGAAUAGUGUAGAAAAUUGUUGAACUUCAGAUUGUCUAUUUAGCUCUGACAGGUCUAUGCCCUGGAAAAUAGCCGCCCUUUUCUGUGGAUUUCUAACCCUUGUAGUAUAUACGAAGCUAAGGCCCAAAGUGGAACUAUAAAUCAAAGGAUCAGAAUUGGUUAUGCAAUUAUGGUUGUUGAAGGCUGGGCUUCAAAUGUAGGAGUUGAAUUCAAGCAAAAAUCAGGAUAUUAUUUCUGUCAAGUGCUCCUGGCAUUUUAAACCUUGUGGUUAAUUCUUGAAAGGACCCGAGGCAGGAAGUUGGAUGAAAUUUCAUUACAUGUGAAUGACAUAGUUUCGAUCCUGUCACUUAAGGAGUUGAGGACCCGGUCUCAUCCAAACUUCCACGUCGGUGUGCUAUUUUGGGUUCUUUUCAAGAUUUUUGAGGGAUUGCAUUUCAUAUGGGAUUAAAUGAGUAUCAAGAACGUUUCCUUAUUUUUGGAAAUAAAUAAAUGGUUAUCUUGGAUGGUUAGGUGGGCUAUGUUGCAUGGGACACUAGCAUAUUGGGCAACUUCACAGUGGAGGCUACAAUGAGCUGAAGUGAAACUGGUUGUAUAAAAUAGGUUGUCUAUGCUAAAAAAGCUCCACAAAUAGGAAAGAUAAAGGUGAAAAUUAGCAGACUAGUGUUCAGUGCCUUCACAGGUGAUAAAGAAAAGAGCAUUGGCUGUGAUGCUGAUCAUGGACAAAGAAACCUGUUACCAUCCAUAAAGUACUUUGGUGGUGAAGACUUAAAAGAGGCCAAGGGAUUGAUGACUUAAGAAAGGCAGUGUUGGAAGUAAUGAAGUAAUGAGAAUUGACUUGUGAUUUCACUAACUUGAUAAACAUAUGGCUACGAAACAGAAUGGCAAAAUGAUGGUGAUUGCAUUCCAUGCUUUUGGUGGUAAUGCUAGGAGUAGGUUGCAAUGGUGUGUGGCCACUCUUGCUUUAUCUUAGGAGAUUUAUGCCAAGAGGAAUGCCAGUAUAUUUGAGGAUAAAUGGAGACCUUCAGAGUUGGUAUGGAAUGGGGUGUGUUUCCUCUAUUUUCUAUGAGCCUCUUAUAUUGUCCAGUCUUUUAGGUAUUUUGUUGAGCAUGAUAUUAUUGGACUGAAAAACUGCUUGAUCUGAUGUUAGAGUGGCAGUUGGCAUGAAGUGUGGAUUUCCUUGCCACUGGGCUGCCUAAAGCUCAAUUUGAUGGUUGUUCUCUAGGGAAACUAGGGGAGGCAGGUAGUGAUGGAGUUUUCUGGGAUCAUGAGAGAGGAGUUUUUAGAGGUUUUUCCAUGCCUGCUGGAGUGGAUUUGGCCUGUAGAGACUGAUGUGUGAGCUUUGUUGGAAGGCCUAACCUAAUCAAACUCUUUGGGUCUCUAUAACUUCUCAUAGAGGGUGGUUUAGAUGUAGUUACCUCCUAGAUAUCUCAAAGAAAUAGAGGACCUUGACAGUUGGAUUUGUCCAUGCACAGGAUUUUAGUUUUGGUUUCAGAGUGGCAAAUGUUCUUUCUUGUGGAUUCCAUGCUUGGUCAACCAGCAAGCAAUUCUUUGACUAAGCAUCACACAACUAAUUGUGAUGUUUUUGUUGGGGAACUUUCCCCCUUUGAGUUGUAUCAAUUUAUUUUGCAUUGGGCUUUAUUUCUUUUAGGUGUCUUCGUCUUCCCUCCCUUUUGUUCUAUUUUGAAGGAUAACUAUCCUUCUUGCAUUUCUUUUGAUCCAUUCCACAAUGAAAUUGUUGUUUCUACGUUUUUUUUUUUCUUUAUAUAUAUAUAUCUUUACAGCAAUAUCUACUAAUCCAAUGGAGCAAGGGAACCUCAUUGUGUUAUAUAGGUUCAGUUGGGUAACUAAAAAUCGUCCAUUCUAAUGAGAGAUUAUAGAGGGAGAUGAUUGUAUUAUAUAUUGAACGCCAAAUGUUUCACAGGAUCAGGAGAUAUAAAAGUCCACUUUACCUUACCCUUAUAGCAUUACUCAUCUUUGGUAUAUUAUUGUUGUGUAAGAUGUUCUUGCUUUGUUGUUAAACCAUUGCUGUUUGUUCUGAGGGGUGUUAAUUUCAUAGUUAUCCCUACUUAUUUCACUCUAGUGAACCAAGAAUUCAUUAGAUACGAGUACUGAGAUCUUGUUCUGGUAUUUUUAGUGAUUUACAUCUUAUAUUCCAAAUGCUAUUUUAAAUGAAAUGCAUAUUUUCAGUUUAUUUUCCGAUAUGAACUCAAUUUUUCUCAUAGUAUAAGAGAGUUUGCAUCUUAUGUCAUGGUGGUAACUCAUCCAAAUUUCAAGGAAUUGACUCUCUCUUUAGCUUUGCCCAAGAAUGGACUUGUUUUGUAAUCAGGCAGUCCAUGAGAUUCUUGAAGAUAUCAGUGUGUUAGAUAAAAAGAACAGUUUUGCAUAAUGUAUGUGAUUAUAUGAACUGGGGCAAUCAGCAAUGAUAAAACAAAAUUGAUGACAUCUUGGCUUACUGAUUGGGUAUGUCAAUGGUGCCUAAUAAGUUUUGGAGGGAGUUGUUUCUACCAAUUAUUAUCUGGUGUGAAAUAAUGCAAGAGGGUCCUGCCCUGUUUGGAGACAGUAGACACUCACUUUUGACUUAUGAACAGAGUAGGUGAAAGACUUGGCACCCCCCAACAAAAUACAAAUCCCAACUACUCCAUUGUCGCCUUUCUCCCAAAGAAUCGAAAAGAAAGCCGUAGAGUGAGACCAGUAAUAUCGUAUUUAUGUUUGGUUGUUUUUGUAUCUCUUCUUUUCUUCAUUCCUUGAUUCAAGUAUUUGAGGAGGCCAUCUUCUGAGUUAUGAUUUGGGCUUGAAGCCCUUUUUCUGUCUUCAAUUUCAUUCAUCAUCUUUUAUUCCAAAACCAUAAAACCCUAGGUUUUCAUUACAACUUUACUAUAAAAAGAAGUUUUUACAAUUUGAUCCAGUCUUAAAAGUGAAAGUAGCAUUUGGUCACUCAUAGAUGUUAUAUUCUGAUGCUGUUGUUAUAUUUUACAACUGAUGGAGUACUAUUACCUUACUCUCUAGUAGCAAUAGAGUGCAUGCAAAUUCCACUUUGUUAACUAUGGUUUAUAUUGUAGGUGGCAAGAGCUAGUUAAUUUCUCACUCUUACAGAAUAUGUUCUUCUGAUACCAACUUUUUGCCACUAAAAUGAUCCCAAGGCAGGCACCCACGGAUAUGCUCUGGCUGAAGUUGGCGUGCACUGUUCAUUUUUGUCAUACCCUAGUUAGUCCAUUUUGUGUGGGCCACAGUGGAAUGGAGCUGUAAGCAACCUUAUCUCUUCAUCUCAGUUUUUUUAUCAAUGUUAUAUUAUUGUGGCUUCAUUUAGAUCUUAGAAACUGCAAGGAAAAGGGAUAAAAUCAGAAGAAAAAUAAUGUUCUUCUGUUUGGUUCUGAUGGAAAAUAUAAAGAAAAUUGAAUUACAAGAAAAUAAUGUGGAGACUCAUAUUUUCCAGUUCUUAGUUCUGUUUUGAGAACUGAAUAAAAUUGGAACAGAGUGGAAAGAAAAACUUGUUUUUCCUUUCUUUUCCUUUUCCCUUCUCUUAUUCUCUCCUCCAUAGUUUCCCAUAGUUUCUAAGAUCUCACCAGAAGUAACCAUCCUUUGCCAAGGAGAAAUUUUUUUUGCCUCUUUUUCGCAUGCAGAAAAUAUUAGUGGGUGUAGUUUGGAAGGGAUAAAACAAGAAACCAUGGGUUAAAACUUAGUCGCUUUGGAAGUUCAUUUAUCCACAGAAUUUUGGAAAGGUUAUAUUCAUGGUUUUGAUUAUGUUUAUACAAAUUGAAUGAUACCAUUGCUUUUGGCUCUCUAUAAGCAAAAGAAGUUCUCUUUAGAAGUAUGCUUCAGAAGCCUGUCCAAGUGGAACACAAGUGCCCAAUUGAAUUAGGGAAUCCCCUGAAACGCUUUCUGUUAGAUUUCUUGCAGUCUGAUUUGCUCUGCACUUCACUUUCACUAGGCGUGUUUCCAUAGUUUUCCACUGCAUAAGUGGUUGACAUGGAAUUGCAUGAUUAUUGUACUUUCAUGGGGACCAGGCAAAGGGCCUGUUUCAUCUUAUCUGAAGAGAUUAACAUCACUACAGUUUUUUAUUCAGCAAUAGUCUUGCAACGCAGCUCAAUCAAUCUGCCGUUUCCCCUUUCCCUUUCAUUAGGAGAUCAGACCAAUUUUAGCCUCAGCCUCUAAUAUGGUCAUGGAGAGAGCAAGGAAAAUAUUCAAAGUAAUCUAAAAAUGAACUCCUUUCACAAGUUAUUUUCAAAAUAUUCCUCCUCUUUCAGUCAUUCUAUCCAAUAUAAUGAAGCAAUUGAGAGCAUCACACUCAUUGUCAAUCCUGUCUUCUCCUCUUCCCUUGCUCUUCCUCUGUUUCCAAUUUCCAUAGAUUGCUUUCCAGAUAACUCAAGGAGAAGGGGAGGGAGGACAACACUUUCUUUAAGUUCAACGUGAAAGGCAAUAAAAACAUUUGCUGCCUAACCUAACCCAACCCAGUUACGUGCAUGAAUAUUAACUAUUUCUUAAUUGCUGGAGAAUCUAAACUAACAUUUUUAUGUGUUCUUCAUGCAGGAAAGUGAAGUGUUCCAAUACGGCAACCCUUCCAACACGGCCUUUGCAUAUGGUUAGAGAAUUAUCCAUAUGGGGAAUGGAAUGGAUAUGCACAAAGCCUACAGAGUUGGCACUCGAUCAAAACUGAAAGCUGCCAAAACACAUGGUGCCUAGAUGAUGACACUAGUAGAUUAUCCAGUUUUGAACUGUUGUCAUUGGAGUUAAGACACUUGUCGCAAUCAUAUCCUUUACACAUCACCAACCCCAUCUUGUGAAAUAGAUAUACAAUGGGGCACUAGGGACUUACAGCCGUGGGUAUAUGGACUUCUUCCAUGAGACCAUUACGGUACUGUGACAGAAAAUUUGAGGGCCGAAUAGACCCUAAAGUGGGUUGCUUGCGGCAUCCAAGAUUUUAGUACUCAUUUUUAGUACAGUGGGUUGUCAAAUUGGCUGUUUUUAAAGCAGGAUUCCCAUGAAAUAAGCUGUCAUUUGCAGGGGAAGAGUCCCAUGCAAUAGCUUUUAUUUAAACUACUUAAAAGUAGUUUAAAGCCCCUUAAAAACCCAAGUGGACAUUGGUACUUGAAUUUUGUGAUACCCCAUUAACAUUGCUGCCAGUUUAAAAUUGGGGCUCGGAGUCAUGAAUGGAUUUAUAUAUUAUUGAGCAGCAAAGCGGCUAUGCA
rnacentral:lncRNA from 1 species